GAGUGGCACCGCCACCGAAAUUUGGCAGCAUUUCGGCAGGUGCUCCACCGCCACAGUGGUCCUUCAGCUGGUGCCUGCCUGCUGAAAAGGUUGGGGACCACUGUUUUAUAGUAUACCAGGAUG